CGUUGCUGUUGUACUUUUCGGAUUUAAAGUGUAGUUAUAUGUUUUUAGAGCUUAACCGAAGUUCUCCUCGUAUGUAAUUUGGCCACAAAAAAUAUACUGCCCGCAGUUCUCGUUUUGUCCAUCAGAGGGCAGGCGUUGACUGACUGUGAAACAUAGCGUGUGUGGGAAUGUCUUUUAAGUUGUAACAUUAUUCAAUUAACGAAGUCAAAAUCUUAACUUGCUGUUUGGUUUAUUUAAUUGCAUAAAUAGUAUUUCAUGGAACACCAAUCUCGAAACGUAUGCUAUGACAACGACCUACCUAUGGGGACGAUAUAUCCGGGGCACCGGUAGUGCCGGAUAUCAGGGGCUAGAAUUCCUCAUCCGUCGGCGUGUAAUUGUUUACAGUCCGACGAGCAACUUUAAACGCAAGUAUUGAGUUGCAGCAUAUAUUAUUAUUUGCAGGCAAACGUUGCUAUACUCGUUUUAUCUAUGCAUAUUUUUUUUUUAAUAGUUUUCUGUUCAAAGAUCUCAACCGAAGUUCAACUCCUAUGAUUUCGCCUUCCUUGCCACAGAAAUCCAAUAGUAUCCAACUGCAGCCCCGGAGAACAACACCCUGCCAUGACAGAACACCCAGGCGGGACAGAAGUACUGGCUGGACGGAAGACAAAUAAACAUGUAAAGCUGUUCCGCUGAAUUCAACAACCGUAGAAACAGAGGAAAGGACACAAUAUUAUCGAGACCAAUCUCAUGGGCCCUGACGAACCGGUGAAACGGAUAAGUCUGAUGAAUUUAACCACGGGUCGAACCAAUGAUGGGGCAAGAGUGGUGUUUUUUUUGAUUAAAAACAUAAGGGGUAACACUGUUGUUUAUCGAUCGUCAUGAAAAAUCAUAAGGGUAAUGUUAUUUUAUUUUUUUUAAAUAAAACAUAAGGGGUAACACUGUCGUGCUUUAUCAAAUAAAACAUAAGGGGCAACACUGUCGCUUUUGAUCAAUUAUGAAAUAAAGGGGUAAGACUGUCGUUAGUUCUCAAAGGAAACACAAGGGGUAACACUCGUUUUUUAUUGUUCGUCGUGAAAAAAAACAUAAGGUGUAACACUGUAUUCUUCGUAAGAAAACUUAAGGGGUAACACUGGUGUUUUUCUAAUAAUUCAAACUUAAGGGACAAUACUGGUGUUUUCUUAUCUUAAAAACAUAAGGGGUAACACUGUUGUUUUUUAUCGGACGUCAUGAAAAAAUCAUAAGGGUAAUGUUAUUUUAUUUUAUCAAAAUAAAACAUAAGGGGUAACACUCGUGUUUUAUCAAUUAAAACAUAAGUGGUAACACUGUCGAUUUUUAUCAAUUAUAAAAUAAAUAAUUGAUAAAAUGUCAUCAGUGUCGUUAGUUCUCAAAGAAAUCACAAGGGGUGAUGCUGUCGUUUUUUAUUGGUCGUCAUGAAAGAAAAACUGGAGGCAGAAGUCACUGUUCCAUCUGUUGAAGUCAGAGUUGUUGAUGCAGAAGUCAAUGGUUCAUCUGUUGAAGUCAGAACUAUGGAUGCAGAAGUCAAUGGAUCUGCUGUUGAAGUUUGAACCGUUUGUUGCCAAUUGUUCAGACGUUACUCUUUCGUCUGAUGAAGUUGGAAGCGUCGAUCUCUCAGUUGAAGUCCCUGUACAGAAAAGUUAUUAUUUUACACUUCUAAGUAUUUUUAUUCGCCGUACAGGAUUUAAUAUCAAUGUGACAGGUAAUAUGUAUGACAAUAAAGAUGAUAAGAGCAAUCUUAAUCUACAUAUACUUCUGUACAUUCUGUAUUUGUAUCUGUCUGGGGGACUGGAUGGCUGUGAAUGAGUGCACUCAUUCACAGCCAUCGUUUUUUAUUGGUCGUCAUGAAAAAAACAUAAGGGGUAACACUGUCGUUUUUUAUUGGUCGUCAUGAAAAAAAACAUAAGGGGUAA